rnacentral:rRNA from 1 species
CCUACGGGGUGCAGCAGUGGGGAAUAUUGGACAAUGGGCGAAAGCCUGAUCCAGCCAUGCCGCGUGUGUGAAGAAGGUCUUCGGGUUGUAAAGCACUUUCAGUGGGGAAGAAAGCCUUGGGGCUAAUACCCUCGAGGAAGGACAUCACCCACAGAAGAAGCACCGGCUAACUCCGUGCCAGCAGCCGCGGUAAUACGGAGGGUGCGAGCGUUAAUCGGAAUUACUGGGCGUAAAGCGCGCGUAGGCGGUCUGAUAAGCCGGUUGUGAAAGCCCCGGGCUCAACCUGGGAACGGCAUCCGGAACUGUCAGGCUAGAGUGCAGGAGAGGAAGGUAGAAUUCCCGGUGUAGCGGUGAAAUGCGUAGAGAUCGGGAGGAAUACCAGUGGCGAAGGCGGCCUUCUGGACUGACACUGACGCUGAGGUGCGAAAGCGUGGGUAGCAAACAGGAUUAGAUACCCGUGUAGUC